CCUUUACACAGCUCAAGGUCUGGGUCCCAGGGUCCACCUUCAUGUUCCACCAAUGAGUUUGUUCACAGGGGGUGGAGUGUGUAGGGGAUGUCCUGAUAUGUGUGUAAGGAAUGCAUUGUGUGAAUCUGUGUUUGUAUGUGUAAGGGCUGCAAGGUGUGUUUCUGUGUACGGGAUGCAGUGUGUGCGUCUGUAAGGGGUGCAUUGAGUGUGUGUAAGGGGUGCAUUGAGUGGGUGUAAGGAAUGCAUUGUGUGUUUCUGUGUGUGUAAGGGAUGCAUUGCUUGUGUGUGUGUGUCUGUGUGUAUAAUGCAUUGUGUGUGUAAUGCAUUGUGUGUUUUUCUGUGUGCAAGGGGUGCAUUGUCUUUGUGUGUAAGGGGUGCGU